rnacentral:rRNA from 1 species
UACGUAGGCAGCGAGCGUUGUUCGGAGUUACUGGGCGUAAAGGGUGUGUAGGCGGUUCUUUAAGUUUGGUGUGAAAUCCCCCGGCUCAACUGGGAGGGUGCGCCGAAUACUGGGGGACUAGAGUACGGGAGAGGAAAGUGGAAUUCCUGGUGUAGCGGUGAAAUGCGUAGAUAUCAGGAGGAACACCGAUGGCGAAGGCAGGUCUCUGGGCUGACACUGACGCUCAUGCACGAAAGCGUGGGGAGCAAACAGG